CAGCCGCCGCGGUAAUACGAGGGGGGCAAGCGUUGUUCGGAAUUAUUGGGCGUAAAGGGUGCGUAGGCGGUUCAGCAAGUCUCGUGUGAAAUCUUCGGGCUCAACCCGAAGUCUGCACGGGAAACUACUGGGCUUGAGUAAUGGAGAGGUGAGUGGAAUUUCCGGUGUAGCGGUGAAAUGCGUAGAUAUCGGAAGGAACACCUGUGGCGAAAGCGGCUCACUGGACCAUUACUGACGCUGAUGCACGAAAGCUAGGGGAGCAAACAGGAUUAGAUACCCCCGUAGUCCCUGUCUCUUAUAC
rnacentral:rRNA from 1 species